rnacentral:rRNA from 1 species
CCGUGCGAAGGUAGCAUAAUCACUUGUUCUUUAAAUGAGGACUCGUAUCAACGGCAUCACGAGGAUCCUACUGUCUCCCCCCUCUAAUCGGUGAAACUGAUCUCUCCGUGAAGAAGCGGAGAUGUACAUAUAAGACGAGAAGACCCCAUGGAGCUUUAAACCCAACAACACCCGCCCCCCUCCAAAUCCUAUUAUUUACCCGGUGAUUGUUUGUUUGGUUUUAGGUUGGGGUGACCGCGGAGUAUAAGAUAUCCUCCAUGAAAAAAGCUAACUGCCCUUAUUAGAGAAAGACACUUCCAAAAAAUAAUAAAUUAAUUUUAAAUGAUCCGACAUUCGAUCAACGAACCAAGUUACCCUGGGGAUAACAGCGCAAUCCGUCCCGAGAGCCCCUAUCGACAGGCGGGUUUACGACCUCGAUGUUGGAUCAGGGUAUCCCAGUGGUGCAGCAGCUACUAAAGGUUCGUUUGUUCAACGAUUAAAACCCU